rnacentral:rRNA from 1 species
AGCAGCCGCGGUAAUUCCAGCUCCAAUAGCGUAUAUUAAAGUUGUUGUGGUUAAAAAGCUCGUAGUUGAACCUUGGGCCUGGCUGGCCGGUCCGCCUCACCGCGUGUACUGGUCCGGCCGGGUCUUUCCCCCUGUGGAACCCCAUGCCCUUCACUGGGUGUGGCGGGAAAACAGGACUUUUACUUUGAAAAAUUAGAGUGCUCCAGGCAGGCCUAUGCUCGAAUACAUUAGCAUGGAAUAAUAGAAUAGGACGUGUGGUUCUAUUUUGUUGGUUUCUAGGACCGCCGUAAUGAUUAAUAGGGACAGUCGGGGGCAUCAGUAUUCAAUCGUCAGAGGUGAAAUUCUUGGAUUGAUUGAAGACUAACUACUGCGAAAGCAUUUGCCAAGGAUGUUUUCAUUAAUCAGGAACGAAAGUUAGGGGAUCGAAGACGAUCAGAUACCGUCGUAGUC